AAAUAAGGAAAACGAAUUCUGUAGGUAGAGAAAUGUAAUGACUAAGAUUUUAAAUGUUAUGACUAAGAUACAUGUUUAGUUGAUAAAAAUUAAUAAAAAUAAGAAACUUUCCUUCCUAGGGCAGCAUAAGAUCAUUUCAGAAUGAAGAUGCUUUGGGAUCUGACUUCGGACUGUAAGAAUGACAAACUCUGAAUGGGUGCAAAGGUAGCAGAUGACCUUCAAAGGAUGGUGAGAUUAAAUUUACCUACACCUAGAGAAAUAAUUGGAGCACAUGUCUAUUUGGGCCAAGAGGAUAAAGGCCAGUAGAGGAAUCAGAUCAAAGAACUUCCUCAGGGAAGUGUGCAGAGAACUGGAGUGGACCUUCCCCUAGGAAGCUGCCCAAAACGAGAGUGCUGGAAAGCUGGCCGCAGUGAGGCACUUCAGAUCCCAAGGGUAUGCUGGGGAAGCUGCCACAGGUGGGAGCACUUGCUGCUGGACCCUAGGCACUGUUGAAACAACUGCACCAUCUGCAGGAGCCCAGCAAGGUGAGUACAGCAGAGCAAGAGAAAAUACUCUUUCCUCCAGUGCUCCUCCACUCACAGAGCUGAACAUUGGGCCAGCUGGUGAUGGGAAGGUAUUUACAGAAUUCAGCUCCAUGGAAAGAAAGGAGGAUUUGGAGCUGAGAGGCAAUAAAUCAAUAACACAUGCUGUGCUCUACAUGCCUCCCCACCACCUCUCAUUUCCCAAAUGCCCAUGACCUUGUGCUCCUUGCUUUCUGGAGAAAUUCUACUUAAACUAAAACAUUUGCUGUAUGAUGCCCUCUUUUGUGCUUAAAGCCUACUAUGAGACUCAAAGUCUUUUAAUGAAGCGAAAGACCUAGUGCACAGCAUAACAUGCCCUGCACGUAAAAUAAUUACAGCUCUGUGCCAGGUGUCAUUACAUUGGACAAGUUCUCGCAACAGUUCCUAGAGAUUGAUCUGAGGCUCUGGCAGAGAACGGUAAGAAAGCAAUUUAGAAAAGCAAUAAUAAAAUGGAUCGUGG
rnacentral:lncRNA from 1 species